rnacentral:rRNA from 1 species
CUCUGUGACUCCUACGGGAGGCAGCAGUGGGGAAUAUUGCACAAUGGGGGAAACCCUGAUGCAGCCAUGCCGCGUGUGUGAAGAAGGCCUUCGGGUUGUAAAGCACUUUCAGUAGGGAGGAAGGUAGUGUAGUUAACACCUGCACUAUUUGACGUUACCUACAGAAGAAGCACCGGCUAACUCCGUGCCAGCAGCCGCGGUAAUACGGAGGGUGCGAGCGUUAAUCGGAAUUACUGGGCGUAAAGCGCAUGCAGGCGGCCUGUUAAGUCAGAUGUGAAAGCCCCGGGGCUUAACCUCGGAAUUGCAUUUGAAACUGGCAGGCUAGAGUCUUGUAGAGGGGGUAGAAUUUCAGGUGUAGCGGUGAAAUGCGUAGAGAUCUGAAGGAAUACCAGUGGCGAAGGCGGCCCCCUGGACAAAGACUGACGCUCAGAUGCGAAAGCGUGGGGAGCAAACAGGAUUAGAUACCCUGGAG